GAACGCUGGCGGUAGGCCUAACACAUGCAAGUCGAACGGCAGCACAGAGGAGCUUGCUCCUUGGGUGGCGAGUGGCGGACGGGUGAGGAAUACAUCGGAAUCUACUCUGUCGUGGGGGAUAACGUAGGGAAACUUACGCUAAUACCGCAUACGACCUACGGGUGAAAGCAGGGGAUCUUCGGACCUUGCGCGAUUGAAUGAGCCGAUGUCGGAUUAGCUAGUUGGCGGGGUAAAGGCCCACCAAGGCGACGAUCCGUAGCUGGUCUGAGAGGAUGAUCAGCCACACUGGAACUGAGACACGGUCCAGACUCCUACGGGAGGCAGCAGUGGGGAAUAUUGGACAAUGGGCGCAAGCCUGAUCCAGCCAUACCGCGUGGGUGAAGAAGGCCUUCGGGUUGUAAAGCCCUUUUGUUGGGAAAGAAAUCCAUCUGGUUAAUACCCGGGUGGGAUGACGGUACCCAAAGAAUAAGCACCGGCUAACUUCGUGCCAGCAGCCGCGGUAAUACGAAGGGUGCAAGCGUUACUCGGAAUUACUGGGCGUAAAGCGUGCGUAGGUGGUCGUUUAAGUCCGUUGUGAAAGCCCUGGGCUCAACCUGGGAACUGCAGUGGAUACUGGGCGACUAGAAUGUGGUAGAGGGUAGCGGAAUUCCUGGUGUAGCAGUGAAAUGCGUAGAGAUCAGGAGGAACAUCCAUGGCGAAGGCAGCUACCUGGACCAA
rnacentral:rRNA from 1 species